rnacentral:rRNA from 1 species
ACCAGACUCCUACGGGAGGCAGCAGUGGGGAAUAUUGCACAAUGGGGGGAACCCUGAUGCAGCGACGCCGCGUGAGUGAAGAAGUAUUUCGGUAUGUAAAGCUCUAUCAGCAGGGACGAAGAUGACGGUACCUGCAGAAGAAGCCCCGGCUAACUACGUGCCAGCAGCCGCGGUAAUACGUAGGGGGCAAGCGUUAUCCGGAUUUACUGGGUGUAAAGGGAGCGUAGACGGCAGCGCAAGUCUGGAGUGAAAUGCCGGGGCUCAACCCCGGAACUGCUUUGGAAACUGUGCAGCUAGAGUGCGGGAGAGGUAAGCGGAAUUCCUAGUGUAGCGGUGAAAUACGUAGAUAUUAGGAGGAACACCAGUGGCGAAGGCGGCUUACUGGACCGUAACUGACGUUGAGGCUCGAAAGCGUGGGGAGCAAACAGGAUUAGAUACCCUGGUA